GCCGGGCGUGGUGGCUCAUGCCUGUAAUCCCAGCUACUCGGGAGGCUGAGGCAGGAGAAUUGCUUGAGCCCGGGAGGUGGAGGUUGCAGUGAGCCUAGAUCGCACCACUGCACUCCACCCUGGGCGACAGAGAGAGACUCUGUCUCAA
rfam:Pan troglodytes isolate Yerkes chimp pedigree #C0471 (Clint) chromosome 2A, whole genome shotgun sequence.